rnacentral:rRNA from 1 species
GCGUGUGUGAAGAAGGUCUUCGGAUUGUAAAGCACUUUAAGUUGGGAGGAAGGGCAGUAAGUUAAUACCUUGCUGUUUUGACGUUACCGACAGAAUAAGCACCGGCUAACUCUGUGCCAGCAGCCGCGGUAAUA